AGGGUUCGAUUCUGGCUCAGAACGUACGCUGGCGGCACGCCUAACACAUGCAAGUCGAACGAAGUAGCAAUACUUAGUGGCAGACGGGUGAGUAACAUGUAGGUAUCUGCCCUUUGGCCUGGAAUAACACGAGGAAACUUGUGCUAAUACCGGAUAAGUCUUUACGGAGAAAGCUUUAUGCACCAUUGGAUGAGCCUGCACUUGAUUAGUUUGUUGGUGGGGUAAUGGCCUACCAAGACUGUGAUCAAUAGCUGAUUUGAGAGGAUGAUCAGCCACAUUGGGACUGAGACACGGCCCAAACUCCUACGGGAGGCAGCAGUGGGGAAUCUUGCACAAUGGAGGAAACUCUGAUGCAGCGAUGCCGCGUGAGUGAAGAAGGCCCUUGGGUUGUAAAGCUCCUUCGUCGGGGAAGAAAAUGACUGUACCCGAAUAAGAAGGUCCGGCUAACUUCGUGCCAGCCGCCGCGGUAAUAC
rnacentral:rRNA from 1 species